AUGGUAACUUCCUCGUCAUUCUAAUCAAACCAGGAUGCAUCGCGAUGUAAGAAGCUAUAAUUUGAUACAUAGAGUAGUGGAGAAUCACCAGGAGGAAAAAUAAAUCUCAUAGGAGUUAGGAUGAAGAAGUUAUCCCACUUUCAAAUCAGGUGAUCCCAGUUUUCCUGUGUGGGAAUAUGACAACUUCCUCGUCAUUCUAAUCAAACGAGGAUGAAUUGCGAUGUAAGAAGCUGGCUUUGGAUACAUAAAGUAGUGGAGAAUAACGAGAAAGUUGAAUAAAUGUCAUAGAAGUUAUGAUGAAGAAGUUAUCCCACUUUCAAAUCAGGUGAUCCCAGUUUUCCUGUUUCGGAAUAUGACAAUUUCCUCGUCAUUCUAAUUAAACAAGUAUGAAUCGCGAUGUAAGAAGCUGUAUUUGGAUAAAUAAAGUAGUGGAGAAUAACAAGGAAUUUGAAUAAAUCUCAUAGGAGUUAGGAUGAAGAAGUUAUCCUACUUUCAAAUCAGGUGAUCCGAGUUUUCCUGUUUGGGAAUAUGACAACUUCCUCGUCAUUCUAAUUAAACCAAUAUGAAUCGCGAUGUAAUAAGGUGUAUUUGGAUACAUAAAGUAGUGGAGAAUCACCAGGAAGUGGAAUAAAUUUCAUUAGGAGUUAGGACAUGAAGAAGUUAUCCCACUUUCAAAUCAGGUGAUUCCAAUUUUCCUGUAUGGGAAUAUGAUAACUUUCUCGUCCUUCUAAUAAAACUAGGAUGAAUCGCGAUGUAAGAACCUGUAUUUGGAUACAUAAAGUACUGGAGAAUUGCCAUGAAGUGGAAUAAAUCUGAUUGGAGUUAGGAAGAAGAAGUUAUCCCACAUACAAAUCAGGUGAUCCCAGUUUUCCUGUUUGGGAAUAUGACAACUUCCUCGUCAUUCUAAUUAAACCAGGAUGAAU